rnacentral:rRNA from 1 species
UACAGAGGGGGCGAGCGUUGUUCGGAAUUACUGGGCGUAAAGGGCGCGUAGGCGGCCCGCUAAGUCGAACGUGAAAUCCCCAGGCUCAACCUGGGAACUGCGUCCGAUACUGGCAGGCUUGAAUCCGGGAGAGGGAUGUGGAAUUCCAGGUGUAGCGGUGAAAUGCGUAGAUAUCUGGAGGAACACCGGUGGCGAAGGCGGCAUCCUGGACCAACACUGACACUGAGGAGCGAAAGCCAGGGGAGCAAACGGG